UCAAAACUUUCAACAACGGAUCUCUUGGUUCUGGCAUCGAUGAAGAACGCAGCGAAAUGCGAUAAGUAAUGUGAAUUGCAGAAUUCAGUGAAUCAUCGAAUCUUUGAACGCACAUUGCGCCCCUUGGUAUUCCGGGGGGCAUGCCUGUUCGAGCGUCAU
rnacentral:rRNA from 1 species